rfam:Algibacter sp. SK-16 scaffold9_cov54_read183, whole genome shotgun sequence.
AUAAUAGAGGAAAGAUUUGACUGAUUGCAACCUCUUUAUAUUGAACUUAUCUUAACCAAAAAUACCAAAACAAGUUCAGUAUAAACAAAAAUGCUAAAGGCAGUGUA